rnacentral:lncRNA from 1 species
AGAGGGCCGGGCGCUCCCUCGGGCUCGCGCAGGUGCUCGGGCCUGGCCGGGCUGGGACCGCAGGCGCCUCUCCCGCGCUCGCCUAGCCCGGGCUGCCCCCGCACGCCCACGCCCCAGGUGUCCGGGCGCGCUUUACCCAGGGGCGCCGUGCCCAGGCCAGGAGGCCAGGGCGGAGCGGGUGAGGGAGAAGCCCAUUUAGAUUCAGAGGGAAGCCGGUCCUGGGAGACGGCCGCGAGGAACAAAGGCGCCCCAGUGCUGCCCACUUAGCAUGCCAGAGCCGCGCUGCUCGGCUCCCAGGCCGGGGACACGGCCCGGUGUUAAGCGGAGGGUGCCCGACCGCGGGAAUUCCUAAGGCCACGCGCACCUCCAAGGCCACCGCCGCACACAGCUUCGGAGUGCACAGUGCACACGCCCAGGCACAGGCAGCCGGCCCGAGAAAUUGUGAAUGUCUUGGCUUUGAGUUUAUCUGCGUAUCCUGGCGAAGUUUGGAUGCAGAGAACUUGGAGCUGUUGUUUUCUACCAGACACUAGGAUCCCUGAGAGAGCUUCCUACUUCUUGCACUGGUCCAUUGCAAUAAAAGACAGGCGACACGUGGACAACUGCUAGACACUUCCCAAGUCUGGAGUCGGCCGUGCUGUGGUUUUUGGUGUCAUUCUUUCGCGCUGCACACACCUUCCUCCACGUGGUGAAGAUACAUCGCUCCUGACAGAUCCAAAGGGAGAUAUCGAUCCAUGGAAGAUGGUUGCUCUCGGAAAAUGCUGAGAAGUUUGCAAAAGGAAUGGAAGCAGAGUUAACCAAUGUAUCAGGAAGCUUACACUUUCUCCUUUUAAACUGCUGUGCUGGUCUAUUAAGACAUGCCUAAUACCCAAAGCUGAGGGGCAAAAGGGGAGAGAAUGAAGUUUAUGCGUCUGUGUCAUAGAGAAAAGCUGCCAAAAUGUGAUUAAGCUUUUUGAGUUAGAACUUAACAAAAUGCCUUUGCUACUGGUUUCCAUGGUUGUCCAGUGAAAAGAGUGAAUACAUUUAUAGGAAACACAAAAGGUGGUUUCAGAGCUUGGGCAGGAUGGAAGACGUAUUUCUUCUACUAUUCGCUCCUGUGAGUUUAGUGCCACAGACCUGCUCAGGCAUCUGGGAGAUGCCGGUGGGAGAUGCCAGGGCUGAGCAGGUUUGAAUUUCUUCCUAAACAGGGAAUAAAGACCUUGAGGAAGGAAUAUAGAUAUUGAGGAAGACCCAGCUCCUCACUAAUGAGCUUACCUGCUUUUCUUGGGACAGCUUGCCUUAAAGUAGACAGUGCUGUCAUGGGCUUCUGGAUCUUAGAAAAUGCUUCUCAUUCUAGGGGAUUUUGGCCAUGGAGACCAUCGCACAGCUCUUCUCCCUUCUCCUCUUGGCUGCCAUCCCAGUAAACAGGUCCUUCCCAGAACCCACAGAGGAGAAAGGCGUUGGAGAGGUGGUAAAGAUCGUUGGCGGGCUAGGUGGCAAUGUUAAGUCCUGAAAAACGCUGUGCGUUGGGGAGUUUCUUAGAACACUUGUGUUACUACAAAGGAAUACUUGAGGCUGGGUAAUUUAUAAAGAAAGAGGUUACUUUGGCUUGCAGUUCUGCAGCCUGUACAAGAAGCAAGGCACCUGCAUUUGCUUCUGGUGAUGGCUUCAGGCUGCUUCCACUCAUGGUGGAAGAGGAAGGGGCACCAGUAUGUGCAAAUCACAACAAGGUGAGAGAGAAGGCAGGUGGGGAGAUGCCAGGCUCCCUUUUAACAAUCAGCUCUCAUGGGCACUAGUAGAGUGAAAACUCACUUAUUGCUAUGAGGAUGGCACUGAGCCAUUCAUGAGGGGGUCCACCCUCAUGGCCCUAACACCUCCCUUCAGGCCUCACCUCCAACAUAUGAGUCCUAUCUGUGCCCUUACUUUUUUGGAGUCAGCAUCUAAAAUAGUCACUGCUUUGCUCCAACUGGUGUCUCCAGUAACUUGAUGGGGACAACCUUCAUCUUCUUCCACCUGCUCCAUUCAUGAACCAUGUCUCCUUGUCCUGAAAGGACCAAAGGGUUUCAAUUUUCUUAAGCUGUGCCUCAGUUUCCUCAUCUAUAAAAUGAGCAUAAUAGGAGUACGUACCUUAGUUUAAGAGGACUAAGUAGUUUAUAUGUGACCACAUAUUAACUGAACUCAUUUCAUAUCUCCAACCACCUACACAACAUCUUUAUGUCUAACAGAAUCUUAAGUUUAUUGUGGCAGUAUGGAAACCUUGAUUCUCCACUUCCCAAACCUGCUCUUCCCUGAUGGUUCCUCUUACUGGUUAGUGGCACUGUUGUUCACCCAGCUACUCUGGCCAAAACCUUUGCCUCCUCUCUUUUGCUCACACCCCACAUCCAAUCCCACAGGAGACUGGACCUCUUCUCGCCUCUCCUAUCACAACCCUAGUCCAAGCCAGUAGCCGGUCACCUGGAUUGUGCACUGGACAUUUCCACUCUCCCUGCGCCCACCCUUAAUCCCUUUACUGCUGCCAGAGGGACACUUUGAAAUUACUAGCCAGCCCAUGAGCCUCUACUUCCAAUCUUCUAAUGGUCUCCCACAUUUACAGUAGAAUCCACUGUCCUUACCAAGGCCAAAACAUCCCACCUAUCUGGCCCCUGGCUGCCUCUCCAGCCUCAUCUCCCUCUUCUCUCACCAUUGCUUUUUCUGCCUUAGCCACGCUGGCCUGACUGCCUCCAGCUCAGGGGACACCUUGCUGUCUCCACAACCUUGUGCUCCCUGAGCUGGAUAUCAUUCUCCUGAUAUCUGCGUACUUCACCCAUCUCACUUCUGGUACAUCUCUCACCCCCUGGAUACCUCACCUUAAAAUAGUACCACUGGACCCCCUCUGCCAUGUUACACUGCUUUAGUUUUCUCAUACUUGCUUAUUACUCCUGAAACAGCAAUUUGUAAAUUGUCUCUAGCACCAGACUGUAAGGGCGGUAAGGACAGGGGCUUUGAGUGUCUUGUUCUCUGCUCUGUCUUCAACUCCUAGAUGUGUCUCUAACGUGCAGUAGGUCCUUAGUAAAUAUUUAUAGAAUGCAUGAAUGAACCAGUAAGUAUAGUGCCUGGCACAUGAUUAAGUGUUGAAGAAGUGUUAGUAAUUAUUAUGGGCAUUACUCACACUGCCAAACUACUUCGUGAAUUUUCCCAGGGGUAGGGAACUCCUCAUCUUCAUAUUUUAAACAGAACAUCACUUUAUUGAGCUAGUACCAUAAUGGGAACUUUAACAACCAUUACUUCAUUUCAUCCACACAUCAGCCUUAUGAAUAAGUGUUACUGUUCCCACUUUGCACAUGAGAAAAAGAAGGAUCAAAAUGUCAAAUGACCACCAACUACUCCAUUCAGGAUCACUUAUACGGUUUGGCUCUGUGUCCCCACCACAGUCUCAUCUCAAAUUGUAAUCCCCAGGUGUCUUGGGAGGGACCUGAUGGGAGAUGAUUGGAUCAUGGGGGCAGUUUUCCCCCAUACUGUUCUCGUGAUAGUGAGGGAGUUCUUGUGAGAUCUAAUGGUUUAAAAGUGGCAGUUUCUCCUGCGCUGUCCUUCUCCUGUCGCCUUGUGAAUAAGGUGCCUUGCUUCACCUUCUGCCAUGAUUGUAAGUUUCCUGAGGCCCUCUAGCCAUGCAGAACUGUGAGCCAAUUACACCUCUUUUGUUUAUAAAUUACCCAGUCUCAGGUAGUAUCUUUAUAGCAGUAUGAGAACGGACUAAUAUAUUCACAAAGCUGGAGGAGGGAGUGCUGUGAGUUAAACCCAUCAGUCCCAAAUCCGUUUCUCUUUCAACCACUCCCAGCAUUGGUUCCGGGAACCCCAGGCAUGGAGCUCUCCUUCCUCAAGAUGCCCAUAGCACCUGCUUUUCGUAUUUGAUGAAUCUUGCCUUGCACUGUCAUCAGGGGUCUCUCCCUCCGCUCCAUGAGUUCCUUGAGAGCCGAGACCAAAUCUUACUCCCAGAGCACAGGGCUGGGAAUACAGCAGGAGCUCAGAAACAUCUUGACUUGGGCUAGUGUGAGGAGUGGGAGAAAAAAGGGGAGGAUUGUGUGUGCAUGUAAGAGUGGGUCCUUUGCCUCUUAAAAAAGUAUCUACUGCAGCUUGUGCUGAAUAUGAGUGUUUGGAAUCCUCAGUAUGAUCAGGGAGGGCACUCAGAGAGAAGAGCUGGAAUGAUCUAUGUGAGGGUUCCCCAUUCAGUGUCAUCUGGAGCAAAUAGUCUUCCCCAGAGUUUACAAGUAUAUGCAAGCCCAGGGGACACAAGAAGCCAAGGUAGCCAAAGUUCACCUACCUGCUAUGACAGCCCCCUGGGAUGAGUCUUCUCCUCAUUUAAUAAAAUAAAUUAGGAGGGCUGGAUAUGCCCUAAAAUAAUGGUUCCAUAACUGCAAAGAAGCUGACUGUAACUCUGCCACCUGUUAGGAACAGGAUGUCACUGUCACUGAAACAGAAGACUGAAAAUUAGCCCAUGCUAUAUAUAAAUUAGGAGGGUGGCGGGGGGGCGGGGAACUGGGAACAUCUUGUUUUGACAUUCAGCAAUAUUUUCAAGGCUCUCUAAAGAAACUUGGAAGAAAAGAAUGUAAAAGAGUCCAGGACCUAAAGGGAAAUAAGGACCUGAUUUUCAAUCACAUUUUGACCUGAAAAUGAAAUCAAGGCCUAUAUUGUGAUGACUUGAGUAGCUUGCUGUCCUACAGCUGCACAAUUGAAGUGGUUUCAUUGCUGUGAGUACCUUCUGCCACUCACUAGAUUCUGGAAUUAAUCCUCUGCCAGGCUAAAAGCAGAAACAGCUACGGAUCUAACACUUCCUAGGAAGAAGUAUUUAGCAGAAGCAGUGGUGUUCAAUGUGGAGGCAUUUUAACACAGGGUUCCGGAAGGUUCAUUUGCAUCCUGCACUGACCCAGCACAGGGUCUGUAGUGGUCACAGUGGUUGAAUUCCCACCAUCUAUUCCUUACCAAAUAAUCAGACUAAGCCAGUGGUUCUUCAUGAGAGGCUAUUCCCCUCCCCUACUAAGGUGACAUUGGCAAUAUCUAGCAACGUUUUUAGUUGUCAUAUCUGGGGAGGUGCUACUGGCAUCUCAUGGGUAGAAGCCAGGGAUGAUGUUUAACAUCCUACAAUGCACAGGAAAGCACUUCAACAAAGACUUACCUGCCCCAAAACGUUAAGAGUGCCGAUGUUGAGAAAACUUGGUGGUCUAUGGGGUUUGAUUUGCCAAUGCCUGCUUUAAGAAUGAGUGUAAGACUUCAUCCCAGCAAACAGUCUUGAAGCAAAGUCUGUUGGAAGCUAUUUGAGAAAGGUUCUCUCAUUCUUAAGAAGAACCAGAAGAAACUGUCUCUUUUCUUUUGGCUGUUGCAGUGUUUGAAUAUGACUUCUGGACCUGUUGUAGCCACUUUGAGUCCCUGAAGGGAAUAAUUUUGAGAGCAAUCCAGCCAUAUCCAGUAAAGCCGUAGGUGUGCAUAACUUGCGACCAGCAAUUCAGCCCAUAGACAUAUGCCCUGGAGAAGUCUUUACACAAGUGCACCAGAAGACAAGUACACAAGUGUUCCUGGCAACAUUGUAAUACUGAAAACUCACCAAUAUUUGUUUGUGAAUAGGCAAAUGGAUAAUUAAAUUGUUACAUAACUAUUAAAAAUAAAUAUUUAGGGCCGGGCGCGGUGGCUCACGCCUGUAAUCCCAGCACUUUGGGCGGCCGAGGCAGGUGGAUUGCGAGGUCAGGAGAUGAGACCAUCCUGGCUAACACGGUGAAACUCCGUCUCUACUAAAAAUACAAAAAAUUAGCCGGGCGUGGUGGCGGGCACCUGUAGUACCAGCUACUCAGGAGGCUGAGGCAGGAGAAAGGCAUGAACCCAGGAGGUGGAGCGUGCAGUGAGCCGAGAUUGGGCCACUGCACUCCAGCCUGGGCGACAGAGCGAGACUCCGUCUCAAAAAUAAAAAUUAAAAUUAAAAAUAAAUAAAUAAAUAGCAGUGACAGUAAAUAAAUUAUGCCUGUGGAUGCAUGUCACAAAUAUAAAGUUGAGUGAAAAGUACAAAUUGAAUUUUUCUCCCCCGGGCACGUCUUUGCUGCAAAGGCCCUGGUGGCCGAGACCAAGGCUGGCUGUUUACGUGAGGCCAGCCUUGCAGGUGGGGCAGAGAGGAGGAAAUUUUGUUGUAAGAACUGGGACAAAGUUGGCUUCUGGAACUCCCAAAGAAAAUAUUUUUCUGGCAAGGGGAAUGCAAGGCAAGGCUUCUCUGAUGUGUAACUGAUAGCCUCAGAAGGUGUAAGGUUAAAUAAUGAUCUCAUCAGUAUAACAGGAGCUGGACAGUAUUAAUCAGUGGUCCAAUUCAAAAUAAAGCCACACUGCUAUAAGCAAAGUAAUGAAGGCUUAUUGUGACCUGGGGCUCCUUAAUGACACAGAUUUGAUUCCCACUUAAUGGGCAACUGAAUAAUGCAGCUGAUAGCACAGACCAGUGGGGAAGGCAGACCAGAGGGGUACAGGAGGCUGCCUGGGAUGAGGCAUCUAAAGGCUGUUAUCACAUGUCACAUCAUCAGACCUUGAAUUUGCUAUUAAACAGCAAAUAAGCAAAUAUGCCACUUACAGAAGACCUUUCCAAACUUCAAGGCAUCUACUAAAAUUAUAUUUAUCUCUCUUUGAUAUACCAAUCACGCAACUCUAAACUAUUUAUGCAGAAACUAAUCUACAUAUUAAAUUGUGCCAAUAAAUGUUGUCUUCUCUGUUUACAUAAAAUGAAUUGCAAGUCAUUCCCAUAUGGUUCCUUAAAUCUGUGGCCUAAAUAUAUUUUUUUUAAUUUCAGAGAAACUUUUAUAUCUUGUGAUCUUUAUUCUCAGAUAUGUAAUUUUUUUUCUCACUGCUUAUUUUCCUAAUGUAAAUUUCUCAGUUAUUAUAGUGGGGAAUUUUUUUUAAUUGGAUAACCUUUGGGAGCAUGAUGAGGAUAGAAAAAUGAUUGAGUAUUGUACACAUUAUCAUUAAAUGGAUAAACUUCUAAAAUCAGGAUUGUGCAUGCUGAAAAUAAGUUUAAAAUAUUGCAAAUUUAAGUAUCUUUUGUCAGAACAUGAGAAAGUUGAGGGAAAAAUAGUGGAAAGUUCCUAAAAGGGAAACAAAAAAAACAGCUUACACUAUUAGUGAUGACUAUUUUCUUUCUGUUACGAUAUCUGAAUCUUUAAUACCAGUAGAAAUUAGGUUCCAAACUAAAAUUGUUCAUUAUAAUUGCUCAGCAUCAAGUAAUUUUUAUGUUGGAUAAAGACACAACUCAAUUGCUCUCUCUGAUAUCAAUGUGGGGAACAAUCCACUAUGUUUCUCAUUUGGUGUUAAUAUUGUGGCCUCAGAUUUCCUCUCAUAAUUGCUUCAAUAAUUACAAUCUAUACAUAAAAACUGAAACUCAUUAUUUAUGAGCUUGUAGUUCUGUUGUAUGUGUACAAGAGCUAUUCAAAGAAUAGUUGAAAAGGAAAACUAUGAAUAAAAUAUUAUUCUCAUGAAUUUUUGCUGUGUAGCUUUCAAAGAAUGUUCUAUGCUUAAGCAUGCAUAGGGGAAUUUUUGUUUUAUUGGAUUAUUUUGGAAACUAUAUCAGUUUAAUAUUUUAAUAUCCCUGCCUAUUUUUCUUUGAAAAGGAACCAUUUCUG